rnacentral:rRNA from 1 species
CCUACGGGUGGCUGCAGUGGGGAAUAUUGGACAAUGGGCGAAAGCCUGAUCCAGCCAUGCCGCGUGUGUGAAGAAGGCCUUCGGGUUGUAAAGCACUUUCAGUGGGGAAGAAAGCCUUGGGGCUAAUACCCUCGAGGAAGGACAUCACCCACAGAAGAAGCACCGGCUAACUCCGUGCCAGCAGCCGCGGUAAUACGGAGGGUGCGAGCGUUAAUCGGAAUUAUUGGGCGUAAAGCGCGCGUAGGCGGUCUGAUAAGCCGGUUGUGAAAGCCCCGGGCUCAACCUGGGAACGGCAUCCGGAACUGUCAGGCUAGAGUGCAGGAGAGGAAGGUAGAAUUCCCGGUGUAGCGGUGAAAUGCGUAGAGAUCGGGAGGAAUACCAGUGGCGAAGGCGGCCUUCUGGACUGACACUGACGCUGAGGUGCGAAAGCGUGGGUAGCAAACAGGAUUAGAUACCCCAGUAGUC